GCCAUGCAAGUGGUUAUAUUAACCCGACAGUUUAAAUAAGUGUUCAUAUUGCGUUUAUAUAUUACCACACACACUCCACACACACACUCACACACACAAUAUACAACGCAUACACACCAAAGACGUAUCACUUACGCAACUGCAGACAGCUGCUUAAUACAGUCACACUUGUCUUGACUUGGCACAACCCACACACACACACUCACACAUUACACAUUAUAUUGCUUCACACACAAUAUAUAUGUGAUUUCUCUGUUUUCGCAUAUUUCAAGAACUGCGAUUACAUCGUGACACUCUUUUUUUAUGGAUAACUCAGGGAAAGUUUGGCUAAUACGUACGAGUAUUUUACACACACACACACUCACAACACACAUACACUACUCAGCACUCAAUGGUAAACUUUGAUAUUUUGCAUUCGUGCAUUUAUCAGUUUUAAAGUUUAACCGCAACAUGAGAGACAUUGAGUACGCACUGCAUUUGUAAUUUUUAAUUACUUUUGCAAUUACGCUGAGCAGACUUUGCGAAGUUCACUUUGCGAAGCAUGUCAUACAAGCAUCUACAGCAUCAAGUCACAGGGUUGGCAAGUGUAUUUUUGAACCUUCAAAGCAGUCACGCAUACGGAAGAGUAGUUUCUGAUCCCAUAGAAGGAGCACCGUACAAUGAGAGACCGCUCUUAGUUCUAAGGAACGCAGCAGGCGCGUAAAUUGCCCAAUGCUAGUACCCUAAUACAAACAUUAUAUAUAGCAAUUUACAAUAUAUGCAACAUGUAUUUUACACAUACAUACGCAAACAUAUUGACACUUUUUAACUACUGUCACACACACACACACACACACAUCCUUGUUCGCAUGUCCUAUAUUGUAAUUUUAUUAAUUUAUAUUAUAUAUAAAUUUUAUUUUACUGAGGCAGUGACAAGCUGUAACGGUUGAGUAUAAAAAUGACGAGUGUCUGGCAUUGCCGCUUCUUUCGGGGAGCUUGGCAAGUUGCCGACGCUUUGUGUGCUCAAUUGGAAUGCGGUGAGUUUAAGCAACUCAGAACCUUUAAUACGGUGUGAUUUUUUGAUCAUCGUGUUAUGUAUCUGAAUUUCAAGUGGAGGGCAAGUCUGG
rnacentral:rRNA from 1 species